rnacentral:rRNA from 1 species
UACGAAGGGGGCUAGCGUUGCUCGGAAUCACUGGGCGUAAAGCGCACGUAGGCGGUCCACUAAGUCUCAUGUGAAAUCCCCCGGCUCAACCGGGGAAUUGCGCGAGGAUACUGGUGGGCUAGAGAUCGGUGAGGGGUGAGUGGAACUCCAGGUGGAGCGGUGAAAUGCGUAGAUAUCGGGAAGGAACACCGGUGGCGAAGGCGGUUCUCUGGGCCUGACCU